AUUGAACGCUGGCGGCAGGCCUAACACAUGCAAGUCGAGCGAUCGGCGGACGGGUGAGUACUGUCUGGGAAACUGCCUGAUGGAGGGGGAUAACUACUGGAAACGCUAGCUACUAACGCAUACAAUCGGAUGUGCCCAGAUGGGAUUAGCUAGUAGGUUGGGUAACGGCGCACCUAGGGGACGAUCCCUAGCUGGUCUGAGAGGAUGACCAGCCGCCCUGGAACGUAGACAAGGUCCAGACUCCAUCUCUAACCACCAUUACAAAAUAUUACACAAUGUUCGCAAGCAUGGUAGAGCCAUGCAGCGUGUAUGAAGAAUUCCUUCGGGUUUUAACGUACUUGCAGCGGGGAGGCGUUACCCGCAGAAGAAGCACCGGCUAACUCCGUGCCAGCAGCCGCGGUAAUAC
rnacentral:rRNA from 1 species